UCAUAGCUUGGUUGGUAAAUCAUCUGCCUGCAAUGCAGGAGACCUGGGUUCGAUUCCUAGGUCAGGAA
rnacentral:tRNA from 1 species